GAGAUGGGCAGACUGGAAACCUCAAACUGGAAGGCCUUCUCUGCCCAAAGAAGAGAUCCCAUUGAAGGCUGUGCUGGAUGUCGUGGGCAGUAGCUUGGGGACCAGGAGCCAGGCCAGAGGACCCUCUUCCAGAAGGCACUCCUUUACCUGAGCUGGAGCUGCUGGUUUUCUGCUUUGUGUUUUGUCGAGACUCUUUCAUCCAGGGGAAGAUUUGUUUGGCCACUGUGGGAAAAGGAAACGCCAAGACAUAGAAAACCACGCUUUUCCCGUAGGAAGAACCGAUGAUGAGCCCUGAUGAAAGAAGGAAGAAGACCCGCUGUCUGCGAAGGCCUAAAGGUUAGAAAUACAGCAAUUUUUCUCAUGCCGAAGGAAAGGCAAAAUGGUCUAAGAAACUGCAAGAGUGUGAUACAAGUUUUCCUCAACAGCGAGCUGGGACUGGCGACAAUUUCUUAACUCACAGCCUCCGCAGUCGCCUUAGUCGACAAAGAGAGCAGCCCACGCAGCGGCCGCCGCGCCCGUGCCCGUGGCCUUUACUUGCUUUUGCCCUGAAGUUCAGUGUAGUGGUUUGUUUGGGGCUUGCAGGAAGAAACAAACACACUCCCUCUGACUCUCCACAACCCAUCUUUGCCUUCUGCAACCGCUUCUCCUGCCCAUCGCUGGUUUUGGGGUAGGCUCUUUGUCUGCCUGAGGCCCCGCACUCGCAGGGCAAGAAGCUUAAAGGAAUCCAACUCCAAACUCCUCCGAAGUUAAAUAUUGACCAGAACCUCUUUCAACAGGCCGCGGUUGCCAGGAACCGUGGAGGGCCAACUCCUCCCAACCGCCCUGGUGCAAAGUCCCACGCGGCGAAGAGUUUUGGAGCAGCGCUUACCUAGAAAGAUGUUUAAAUUCUGAACCAGGAAUUGUCUCCAACUCCAGGCGCUCAGGGAAUCGCCUUUUCCGGUGUCCAGGCGCUCUGCAGACAAAUAAACAGCAGAAGGUGAAUGGCGGCUGCGAGGGAAGGGAGUUGGAGGCCGGGAGUGGGAAGCGAGGCUCAUGCGGGCGCCAAGGUGGCCCUGGGGGUGACGCGAACAUCAGGGAGUCACCAGGGCACUCGUCCGUGUGGCGCACUCAUUGCUCGAAAUGUUCCAGUCUACAAAUGGUCCGAAGAUGGUGAUUUAUUUUUGUAAAAUAAAUACAUACUCCAUCU
rnacentral:lncRNA from 1 species